ACGCAAGUGGUUUAGUGGUAAAAUCCAACGUUGCCAUCGUUGGGCCCCCGGUUCGAUUCCGGGCUUGCGUA
rnacentral:tRNA from 1 species